GGUUGAUCCUGCCGGAGGCCAUUGCUAUCGGAGUCCGAUUUAGCCAUGCUAGUCGAGCGAGGUUAGCCCUCGCGGCGAACAGCUCAGUAACACGUGGCCAAGCUACCCUGCAGAGGGGGACAGCGUCGGGAAACUGACGGGAAUCCCCCAUACCGGUCUCACGCUGGAAUGCCGAGACCGACAAACGCUCCGGCGCUGCAGGAUGCGGCUGCGGCCGAUUAGGUAGUCGGUGGGGUAACGGCCCACCGAGCCGAUAAUUGGUACGGGGUGUGAGAGCACGAGCCCGGAGACGGAAUCUGAGACAAGAUUCCGGGCCCUACGGGGCGCAGCAGGCGCGAAACCUUUACACUGCACGAAGGUGCGAUAAGGGGACUCCGAGUGCGAGGGCAUACAGUCCUCGCUAUUGUGUACCGUAGGGUGGUACACGACCAAGAGCUGGGCAAGACCGGUGCCAGCCGCCGCGGUAAUACCGGCAGCUCGAGUGAUGGCCGAUUUUAUUGGGCCUAAAGCGUCCGUAGCUGGCCCUGCAAGUCCGUCGGGAAAUCCACUCGCCUAACGAGUGGGCGUCCGGCGGAAACUACAGGGCUUGGGACCGGAAGACUUGAGGGGUACGUCUGGGGUAGGAGUGAAAUCCUGUAAUCCUGGACGGACCGCCGAUGGCGAAAGCACCUCAAGACGACGGAUCCGACAGUGAGGGACGAAAGCUAGGGUCUCGAACCGGAUUAGAUACCCGGGUAGUCCUAGCCGUAAACGAUGUUCGCUAGAUGUGGCACAGGCUACGUGCCUGUGCUGUGUCGUAGGGAAGCCGAGAAGCGAACCGCCUGGGAAGUACGUCCGCAAGGAUGAAACUUAAAGGAAUUGGCGGGGGAGCACUACAACCGGAGGAGCCUGCGGUUUAAUUGGACUCAACGCCGGACAUCUCACCAGCUCCGACUACAGUGAUGACGAUCAGGUUG
rnacentral:rRNA from 1 species